UACGUAGGGUGCGAGCGUUGUCCGGAAUUAUUGGGCGUAAAGAGCUCGUAGGCGGUUUGUCGCGUCGGAUGUGAAAGCCCGGGGCUUAACCCCGGGUCUGCAUUCGAUACGGGCAGACUAGAGUUCGGUAGGGGAGAUCGGAAUUCCUGGUGUAGCGGUGAAAUGCGCAGAUAUCAGGAGGAACACCGGUGGCGAAGGCGGAUCUCUGGGCCGAUACUGACGCUGAGGAGCGAAAGCGUGGGGAGCGAACAGG
rnacentral:rRNA from 1 species